rnacentral:rRNA from 1 species
CCUACGGGAGGCAGCAGUGGGGAAUUUUGCGCAAUGCUCGUAAGAGUGACGCAGCGACGCCGCGUGAAUGACGAAGGCCUUCGGGUCGUAAAGUUCUUUCGACAGGGAAGAAAAUGCCUAUCAGUAACUGUGUAUGUAUUGACGGUACCUGUAUAAGCAGCCCCGGCUAACUCCGUGCCAGCAGCCGCGGUAAUACGGAGGGGGCGAGCGUUGUUCGGAGUGACUGGGCGUAAAGGGCACGUAGGCGGUGUUGUAAGUCAUUAGUCAAAGACUAGAGCUCAACUUUAGUAAGGCUAGUGAUACUAUAAUACGAGAGUAUCAGAGAGGAUUGCAGAAUUCCUGGUGUAGCGGUGAAAUGCGUAGAUAGCAGGAGGAAUACCGUUAGCGAAGGCGGCAAUCUGGCUGGAAACUGACGCUGAGGUGCGAAAGCGUGGGUAGCAAACAGGAUUAGAUACCCCAGUAGUC